AACGAACGCUGGCGGCGUGCCUAACACAUGCAAGUCGUGCGAGAAAGUUCCUUCGGGAGCGAGUAAAGCGGCGCACGGGUGAGUAACACGUAGGUAACCUGCCCCCCAGUCUGGAACAACUAGAGGAAACUCUAGCUAAUGCCGGAUGAGACCACGAUCCCUUCGGGGGUUGCGGCCAAAGAUGGCCUCUACUUGUAAGCUAUCGCUGAGGGAUGGGCCUGCGGGCCAUUAGCUUGUUGGUGAGGUAACGGCUCACCAAGGCUGUGAUGGCUAGCUGGUCUGAGAGGAUGACCAGCCACACUGGGACUGAGACACGGCCCAGACUCCUACGGGAGGCAGCAGUGGGGAAUAUUGCGCAAUGGGCGAAAGCCUGACGCAGCGACGCCGCGUGGUGAUGAAGGCC
rnacentral:rRNA from 1 species